rnacentral:rRNA from 1 species
GUAGGUGGCAAGCGUUGUCCGGAAUUAUUGGGCGUAAAGCGCGCGCAGGUGGUUCUUUAAGUCUGAUGUGAAAGCCCCCGGCUCAACCGGGGAGGGUCAUUGGAAACAGGGGAACUUGAGUGCAGGAGAGGAAAGUGGAAUUCCACGUGUAGCGGUGAAAUGCGUAGAUAUGUGGAGGAACACCAGUGGCGAAGGCGACUUUCUGGCCUGUAACUGACACUGAGGCGCGAAAGCGUGGGGAGCAAACAGGGAUUAGAUACCCUGGUAGUCCACGCCGUAAACGAUGAGUGCUAAGUGUUGGGGGGGUUUCCCGCCCCUCAGUGCUGCAGCUAACGCAUUAAGCACUCCGCCUGGGGAGUACGGUCGCAAGACUG